UGGGGAAUAUUGCACAAUGGGCGCAAGCCUGAUGCAGCCAUGCCGCGUGUGUGAAGAAGGCCUUCGGGUUGUAAAGCACUUUCAGCGGGGAGGAAGGCGAUAAGGUUAAUAACCUCAUCGAUUGACGUUACCCGCAGAAGAAGCACCGGCUAACUCCGUGCCAGCAGCCGCGGUAAUACGGAGGGUGCAAGCGUUAAUCGGAAUUACUGGGCGUAAAGCGCACGCAGGCGGUCUGUCAAGUCGGAUGUGAAAUCCCCGGGCUCAACCUGGGAGCUGCAUUCGAAACUGGCAGGCUAGAGUCUUGUAGAGGGGGGUAGAAUUCCAGGUGUAGCGGUGAAAUGCGUAGAGAGCUGGAGGAAUACCGGUGGCGAAGGCGGCCCCCUGGACAAAGACUGACGCUCAGGUGCGAAAGCGUGGGGAGCAAACAGG
rnacentral:rRNA from 1 species